rnacentral:rRNA from 1 species
CCUACGGGAGGCUGCAGUGGGGAAUAUUGGACAAUGGGCGAAAGCCUGAUCCAGCCAUGCCGCGUGUGUGAAGAAGGCCUUCGGGUUGUAAAGCACUUUCAGUGGGGAAGAAAGCCUUGGGGCUAAUACCCUCGAGGAAGGACAUCACCCACAGAAGAAGCACCGGCUAACUCCGUGCCAGCAGCCGCGGUAAUACGGAGGGUGCGAGCGUUAAUCGGAAUUACUGGGCGUAAAGCGCGCGUAGGCGGUCUGAUAAGCCGGUUGUGAAAGCCCCGGGCUCAACCUGGGAACGGCAUCCGGAACUGUCAGGCUAGAGUGCAGGAGAGAGAGGUAGAAUUCCCGGUGUAGCGGUGAAAUGCGUAGAGAUCGGGAGGAAUACCAGUGGCGAAGGCGGCCUUCUGGACUGACACUGACGCUGAGGUGCGAAAGCGUGGGUAGCAAACAGGAUUAGAUACCCUUGUAGUC